rnacentral:rRNA from 1 species
CCUGAUCCAGCCAUGCCGCGUGGAGUGAUGAAGGCCCUAGGGUUGUAAAGCUCUUUCACCGGUGAAGAUAAUGACGGUAACCGGAGAAGAAGCCCCGGCUAACUUCGUGCCAGCAGCCGCGGUAAUACGAAGGGGGCUAGCGUUGUUCGGAUUUACUGGGCGUAAAGCGCACGUAGGCGGACUUUUAAGUCAGGGGUGAAAUCCCGGGGCUCAACCCCGGAACUGCCUUUGAUACUGGAAGUCUUGAGUAUGGUAGAGGUGAGUGGAAUUCCGAGUGUAGAGGUGAAAUUCGUAGAUAUUCGGAGGGACACCAGUGGCGAAGGCGGCUCACUGGACCAUUACUGACGCUGAGGUGCGAAAGC